rnacentral:rRNA from 5 species
GGGUUGUGAGGUUAAGCGACUAAGCGUACACGGUGGAUGCCCUGGCAGUCAGAGGCGAUGAAGGGCGUGCUAAUCUGCGAUAAGCGCCGGUAAGGUGAUAUGAACCGUUAUAACCGGCGAUACCCGAAUGGGGAAACCCAGUGUGACU